CCAAUAGCGUAUAUUAAAGUUGUUGCAGUUAAAAAGCUCGUAGUUGAAUUUCGGGGUUAGUAGGUUGGUCAUGCCUCUGGUAUGUACUGGUCUCACUGAUUCCUCCUUCCUGAUGAACCGUAAUGCCAUUAAUUUGGUGUUGCGGGGAAUUUGGACUGUUACUUUGAAAAAAUUAGAGUGUUUAAAGCAAGCUAACGCUUGAAUACAUUAGCAUGGAAUAAUGAAAUAGGACGUUCGAUCCUAUUUUGUUGGUUUCUAGGAUUGACGUAAUGAUUAAUAGGGAAUAUUGGGGCAUUAGUAUUCAAUUGUCAGAGGUGAAAUUCUUGGAUUUAUUGAAGACUAACUACUGCGAAAGCAUUUGCCAAGGAUGUUUUCAUUAAUCAAGAACGAAAGUUAGGGGAUCGAAGACGAUUAGAUACCGUCGUAGUCUUAACCAUAAACUAUGCCGACUAGGGAUCGGAUGAUGUUAAUUUUUUAAUGACUCAUUCGGCGCCUUACG
rnacentral:rRNA from 1 species